GGACGAACGCUGGCGGCGUGCCUAAUACAUGCAAGUCGAACGCUGAAGGAGGAGCUUGCUUCUCUGGAUGAGUUGCGAACGGGUGAGUAACGCGUAGGUAACCUGCCUGGUAGCGGGGGAUAACUAUUGGAAACGAUAGCUAAUACCGCAUAACAGUAGAUAUCGCAUGAUAUCUACUUGAAAGGUGCAAUUGCAUCACUACCAGAUGGACCUGCGUUGUAUUAGCUAGUUGGUGAGGUAACGGCUCACCAAGGCGACGAUACAUAGCCGACCUGAGAGGGUGAUCGGCCACACUGGGACUGAGACACGGCCCAGACUCCUACGGGAGGCAGCAGUAGGGAAUCUUCGGCAAUGGACGGAAGUCUGACCGAGCAACGCCGCGUGAGUGAAGAAGGGUUUCGGAUCGUAAAGCUCUGUUGUAAGAGAAGAACGAGUGUGAGAGUGGAAAGUUCACACUGUGACGGUAUCUUACCAGAAAGGGACGGCUAACUACGUG
rnacentral:rRNA from 1 species